rnacentral:lncRNA from 1 species
GAAUCUAGAACUGUUAGGUUGCUUGGGUAGAACUGUUAGGUUGCUUGGGUAGAACUGUUAGGUUGCUGGUUAGAAUUGCGGUUAGGUUGCAUUGUUAGUAUUUUCUAGGUUAGUAGAUUAUUUGAUUAAUUGUCUACUAACUUGCAUGUUAAGUGUUCUUUUGAGUUGCAGCGAGUAAGUAUGUUUGUUGAUCGGAACUUUAAGGGAUGAAAACCUUAAAGUGGAGGGAGUUCAAGGCCAAACCCAAACCCGAAGCGAAAGAGGAGAGACAGAUUCAGAGAACUGGGCUGUGGUAUGGACUGGACAGAUGGGAGGAAACAAGACUUCAUUGGGGAAGGACUUCAUCAGUAAUUGGGAAGACAAAGAUCGAGAAAGGAUUUGAGGAAUCUGGACAAGAUAGUAUCAUGGGCAAUGAGGGUGUUAUGGCAGAGUAAAAGAAAGAGGAUGACUCAGUGAUCAUUCCAGUGAUGAGAUAUGAAGACAAUUGUGGAGGCCUUGAAGAGGACACUCAAGGAACCGUGGUGGACAGCUUAAAGAGGUUAUGGAGAUGAGUGGAGAAUGUUGUGAAGACGAGCAAUUGCGCAACCAAGAAUUCGAGGACGAAUUCUAUUAAGGGGGGGAGAUAGCAUGGGAUAACAUCAUAGGAUUUCGAUCCUAUUGUGUUGGCCUUCGGGAUCGGAGUAAUGAUUAACAGGGACAGUCGGUGUAGAAACCCGUAAAAAAAAAAAAAAAAAAAAAGAAAGAAAAGAGUUGUCGAGUAUCUUUGUGGUGGUCGAGUCGCAUGCGAUAUGGAUCGAUCAAGAAGCUUUGAAGUACGAGGUGGGCAAAGAAGUGAUCGUGAGUGAACUAUGAGUCGAAUAAGUUGCUCGACCAUAGUUAGAAGAUGUCUUAGAUUGAUGAGACGGACGUUUUGGAAGCAUAACAUUUUUGGAAGAACGACGGUUUAGAAGCUUGACGUUUUGGAAGAAUCACGUUUCUUCAGCAUGAAAUUUUCCGCAAAACUUCGUAUCAGCGGAAUAUUAUUUCGAAGACAUUGGAAACAUGAUGGGAAUUAAGCAAGAUGGGAAGUAAGCACGACGGGAAGCAAGCACGACGGGAUUGAAGCACGAUGGGAAAACCCGAAGUUGGUCAAAAACCCUAAUUUCAGUUUUUCGAAAUUAUUGGAAGAAGCCGGAGGCUCGGGAAAUAUUUUUAGAGGAUCUCAGUAUUCAUCUGGAGUUUAUUAAAAAUAUUUAGAGAAUCAGAACGGGAGCAGAAAAAUAUUCGGGAUUGAUCGCGGGACGAAAAUUCACCAGAAAGACCGAAAUCGCACAAAUCAACCGGGAAGCUCGGGGUGUCCCUAUGCAUAUGGCCAGGACGUUCUGUCUAUCACAUCAGCAGCUGAGUGUCAACACAAGGAGGAGGUGUAGACGUGCAUCAAAGCUGAACAUGCAGCUUGACACAUAGAAGCACGAGGUGGAACGGCCAAGCACGAGGUGUCUCCGCGCAUGCAACCGAAGCAUGCUGAUCGACAUGUGUGUGCUGGGGUGGCAUCUUGCAUGAGCUCCAGUCAUGCAGCCUGACAUCUGGGAGGAGUGGUGGCGUCCUGCAUGUGUCCUGGACAUGCAGCCAGCCAUGUGGAGCACGAGGUGGAUCGACCAAGCACGAGAUGUCGCGACGCAUGCAACCGAAGCAUGCUGAUCGACAUGUGUGAUGAUGUGUGGCGCCUUGCAUGAGCUCCAGUCAUGCAGCCUGACAUCUGGGAGGAGUGGUGGCGUCCUGCAUGUGUCCUGGACAUGCAGCCAGCCAUGUGGAGCACGAGGUGUCGCCGUGCAUGCGUCCGGAGCCAUGCGGAGCGACACACGGGCUGCCACCAACCUGAAGCUGAUUGGCUGGUGUCUCCUAUAAAUACCCCACGACUCCAGCUCAUUUCUUCACAUCCAGACCUGUCCAAACCAAGUUAAAAACAUGAGAGAAAAGUAGAAAAAAGAAAGCAAGUGAUUCCGAGCUAUAUCGAGAGUUUUAGAGAGUUUUCGAGGUCAGUUCUCUACUGAUUUCGAGUCAGCAUCUUGGGAAGGUUCUGUCCAACUGAAGGUCAAUCAAGUGAAGAUCAGAUCAGAUGGGAGUCAAGUCAACGUGGCUAUAGAGAGAGAGAGAGAGAAAGGAAGUGAUCGAUUCUAGAGUAUGGUCGAUUCUGAAGACCGAUACUCCACCGAGAAGGCCAGUUCCGUCCAAUCGGCGAUUCUCUACGAUUGUGACGCGGAAGCUCUGUCCAAUUCAAUCCGUCCAGGCCAGUCAUAUUAUGUGAUGGUCAAGUGGAGGUGCUGUCCGGAGUUAGUUCAGAUCUACGGGUUCAGAUCAGUCGAAGUUCUGCUCGAUAUUCCAUCGGGAAGGCCGAAGAACUGUCCAGAAGCUAGAGGAGGUUCUGUCCGAGUCCAGAUCAGUCCUUCCAGACCUGUUAGUGUCUUCAUGAUCAAGCCGAGGGUCUGUCCAAGUCGAGGUCAGUUCAUUCCAGUCCAGUCAAGGCGUCCCUUUGGUUUUGGCCAAGUCCUCUCCGAUCAACCAGCUGCUUCUCGCCUAGAACACUGUGAGUUGGUUUUGUGUGAAUUCCACUUGGAAUUUAGGGUAGUUUUUGUGAGUUGGUUUGUUUGAAUUCCACUUGGAAUUUAGGGUAGAUCGAGUCUGCAUAUAGAUUAGAAUGAUCACGCUAUUGAAUGGUAGAGUCCUUAGGGUUAUUUUAUUUAUGGAACCGGACUCAGUUUAGCAAGGGCUAAGCUGAGAUGAAUGGAAUUAAGACUGAGUUAAUAACCUGACUAGGACUAGGGCUAGGAUGCAUCAUGUUUUCUAUUAUUGCGUGUUGAUAUUGUUGAGUGCAGGUUCCCGUUAUCUUUAAAGAUAGUUUCUCAGCGGGAGGCUGGACUAUCUGGGUAACGGUUUGAUUUAUUUGUUUAGUAUUGAUAUUAUUGUUUAGUUAUUAGUACUCAGGGUCUUAGGCCAUAUAGGCCGGACUACUGGUACUAUUGGUUUGUGUUGUAGAGUUGAGUGUCUAGUUAGGAUCUGGAACUUUGGCUUUAGGUUAGGUUCUAGAUUGAGUUUGUUUUGUUGUGAGUGUGCCGAUAGUAUGUGCGAAACCCGCCCAUACUAGGCUUGUGUAGGGGUGAUUAGUGUUUCCUCGGCCUCGUACCCAGCGGGUUCAAGGAAACCCCAUAUUCGCUGGAUCGGAAAGACUCAGACGAACGGUGUCAUGUACUAUGGCUGAGUAUUACACGACGGUGUAAUGUGGCAGUGACCCGAAGGACUGUGGGCUGUCGCGCGGUGACCCGAAUGACUGUGGGCCGCGGUCGGUUGAAAGUUCCUUCUUCUGGCCUUUGUGGUAGGGAGAUAGGAUAUUGCCGAUAGAGAGGAGGAACACGAUGUCACCAGGGCCCAGGUUAGAGUGUUGUGUUAGAGUGUCGCAGAGGGUUAUGGAACCCUCGAGUUAGUGUAGCACCGAUAUACGGUGUUACAAGUUAGAUCGAGUCGUAGUUACUCAUAGUCUUAUUAGUGUGAUUGUGUUUGUGGUUGAUUGAUUUGCUUGCAGGUUCUGACAUUAAGUCCUAAGUCUGGCUUAGGUACCGGAUUAGGCUUGAUGUGUAUUUUGUUAGUGUAGGCCUGACGUUGGCCUGUAUGUGUUUGAGUGAUUGCUUGUGAAGGGUGGUGGAUAUUAAAGCUAUGCGGUAUCAUUGGUUGGCCGAUCAUGUUCUUGUUUGAUUGUUGGUCGAUCAAUUAAUGAUACUUGUAUAGUCUAAGUGUCUAACACUACAUGAGUAUUGAACUCAGGCGUAUAUAUGGUUAACUAGGAAUUGCUUGUUGACUUGUUUUAAUGCAGGUUCCCGUUACUUGAAGCUAGAUCAUGGCAGGAGGCCAAGUCUAACUUAGUAACGGUUUGCUUAGCCUUAGCUUUUAUUGCAUGCUAGGGCUAGAUUGAUUGUUAUUUUGGGUUGUCUGGGUAGAGUCUAGGUUGCGUGUAGAGGCCGCCAGCUCACUGAGUAAUACUAGAUUACUCAUCCAACUCCGUUGUCCUUUUUGCAGGCCGCUUUAGGUAAGGAUGAUCGGAUAGCUUCGUGCUGGACGUUAGGACCGCCGGUGUAGAUUUUCAUGCCUUUUGUAAACGGUAUUGUGAAUUGUGUUAUGUUGACUCGAUUUGGCAUUAGGCCGGGCCCAGUCUUGAAUUAUUUAAUGUAUGAAUAUUUCUUGAAUCAAUAAAAGUAAUUGUUUUAUAUGCGCUUCAUGAGUACUCUGAUAUUUGACUAGUCCGGUCUAACACAACGUUAGGUCGAGGUACGGGUUGAAAAGCCUUAGGCCUUGAUCUAACGGAAAACGUUAACUCUAGGUACGGGUUGCAAAGCCUUAUGCCUUGACGCAGCGGGACGAGUUAGUGGAUGAACUGGUCUAGGUCGUGGAGUAAAGUUUGUGACUCUGACCGGAUUGUCCCUAUCCCGUCACGUAGCGCUUCCGGACCAUGGUGUUGGGUUGGACGGUCAGUCAUGUUCUUGUUUGAUUGUUGGCUGGCCGGUUGACCUUUCAUCUCCAACCCUUGGUGUGGGUCGUCUGUCGGUCAUGUUCUUGUUUGAUUGUUGGCUGGCCGGUUGACCUUUCAUCUCCAACCCUUGGUGUGGGUCGUCUGUCGGUCAUGUUCUUGUUUGAUUGUUGGCCGGUGGGUCGACCUAUGCUUAGGACGGUUCGGGGGUGUUACAGAGGUGGUAUCAGAGCAUGGUUUCGUCCAUGCUUCCGGAACUCAUGAUUUAAUCGGUUUUAAAUAUUUAUCGAGUCAAAAUGAGUCACAAAAGGCAUUAGGGAAACCGGUCACGUCCAGCGAUAGGAUUUGUGGUUUUAGGAAUUAGGAUUGAGAUAGUGGAAUCUAGAAUUGCUAGGUUGCUUGGUUAGAACUGUUAGGUUGCUGGUUAGAAUUGCGGUUAGGUUGCAUUGUUAGUAUUUGUUGGGUUAAUUGUCUACUAACUUGCAUGUGAAGUGUUCUUUUGAGUUGCAGCUUGUGUGUUCGUUGAUCGGAACUUUAAGGAAUGGAAACCUUAAAAUGAAAAGAGUUCAAGGCUAAAAGCCCAAAGUGAAGAGAGAGAGAUUCAGAGGGACUGGACAGUGGUAUGGACUGGACAAGUAUGAGCAAGACUUCGUUGAGAAAGGACUUCAUCAGUUUUGGGAAAAGAAAGGUUUCAGUGAUCAGAAGCAAAGAUGGUGCACGUUAUGGCAGAGUAAAUGCAAGAAGACGAUUCAGUAUUCAUCAAGUGAAGAGUUUUGUGGCAACUUUGAGAACGAGACUAAUGGGAGAGCAGUAGAUACGGUAAAGCAAUAUGAAGAUGAAUUCAGCAUGAGAGUGAAGCGAUAUGGAGAUGAGUUAAGAAUGAGUGAAGCAUGGGAAAUCAAGAAGUGAAGGACGGAUUCAAGAAUAAAGGAAUGCUUUGAGAUGUAUCAAGACGGAGUGAGUUCAGAACCAGAAGUUUGGGUGGAGACCAGAGAAACCGAAAGGAGGAAACCAAGGGCAAACCGAUAAAGAAGCACAUCAAGUGAUCAAGACCGCGAGACAAGUGAUCCAAGGAGAAAUUUUCAUCAAGGGGAUGAACAUGUCGUGAAGCUGAGCCAUUGGACAACUAAGAAUUCGAGGACGAAUUCUAUUAAGGGGGGGGAGAAUGUAGAAACCCGUUAAAAAAAAAAAAAAAAAAAAAAAAAAAAAAAAAAAAAAAAAAAGAGAGAGAGAAUGGUCGAGUAUCUUUGUGGUUGAGUCGCGGGCAAUACAGAUCGAUCGGGAAAUUUGAAGUACGAGAAGGUCGAAGAAUGGAUCGUGAGUGAAGCAUGAGUUGAGUUAAGCUGCUCUACCAUUGUUAGAAAUGUCUUAGAUUGAUCAUACGGCAGUUUUGAAAGAAUUACAUUUUUGAAGCACGACGGUUUAGAAGCUCGACGUUUUGGAAGAUUGACGUUUCUUCAUCGCGAAGUUUUCUCGGAAUAUCUUCGUAUCAGUAAAAUAUUAUUCUGAAGACAUUAUAAGUCGGAAGCAGGACGGGAAUUAAGCAGGACGGGAAGCAAGCACGAUGGGAUUGAAGCACGACAGGAAAACCCAAAGUUGGGCGAAAACCCUAAUUUCGGUAUUACGAAAUUCUUUGAGGAAGCCGGAGGCUCGGGAAAUAUUUUUAAAGGAUAUCAGACAUCAUCUGAAGUUUAUUAAAAAUAUUCAAAGAAUCAGAAUGGGAGCGGAAAAAUAUUCGGGAUUGAUCGCGGGUCAGAAAUUCACAAGAAGGGUCUAAAUCGCGCAAAGGAACCGAGAAGCUCGAGGUGGCUUGAUCUAAGGGAUAUGAACGUGGUGGCAACUGUCUAACCAGCUGAGUGUCAAGAGAAGUUCGAGGUGUCGCCGUGCAUGGAAUCUGCACAUGCAGCUUGACAUGUAGAAGCACGAGGUGGAUUGGCCAAGCCCGAGAUGUCGCGACGCAUGCAACCGAAGCAUGCUGAUCGACAUGUGUGAGGAUGUGUGGCGCCUUGCAUGAGCUCCAGUCAUGCAGCCUGACAUCUGGGAGGAGUGGUGGAUUCCUGCAUGUGUCCUGUACAUGCAGCCAGCCAUGUGGAGCACGAGGUGUCGCCGUGCAUGCGUCCGGAGCCAUGCAGAGCGACACACGGGCUGCCACCAACCUGAAGCUGAUUGGCUGGUGUCUCCUAUAAAUACCCCACGACCCCAGCUCAUUUCUUCAAAUCCAGACCUGUCCAAACCAAGUUAAAACCUUGAGAGAAAAGUAGAAAAAGAAAGUAAGAGGUUCUGAGCUAUUUCGAGAGUUUUAGAGAGUUUUCGAGAUCAGUUUCUCUACUGAUUUCAAGUCAGUGCCUAGGGAAGGUUCUGGCCAACUGAAGAUCAAUAAAUUGAAGACCAAUUCAGAUGGGAAGCAAGGCAACGUGGUUAGAGAGAGAGAGAGAGAGAGAAAGAGAGUGUAGCUGAGUUCCGAAGAUCGAUACUUCACGAAGAAGCGAAGUUCUGUCUGCAAUUGUUAUGCGGAAGCUCUGCCCAAAUCAAUCUGUCCACUCUACUCAUAUUCUUUGAUGAUAAAGUGGAGUUGCUGUCCAAGAUCAGUUCAGUUCCAUGGUUUCAGCUCAGUCGAGGUUAUGAUUCGAUACUCUGUUCAGAUUUCAGAAGAAUUGUUCAGACGCUAAGGAAGGUGCUGUUCAAGUUGCGUUCAGUCCAGACCAGUAUCAGGGGAGGUUCUGUACAAGUCAAGAUCAGUCCAGUCCAGUCCAGUCAAGGCGUCCCUUGGGUUUUGGCCAUGUCCUCUCCGAUCAACCAGCUGCUUCUUGCCUAGAACACUGUGAGUUGGUUUGUUUGAAUUCCACUUGGAAUUUAGGGUAGAUCGAGUCUGCAUAUAGAUUAGAAUGAUCACAUUAUUGAAUGGUAGAGUCCUUAGGGUUAUUUUAUUUAUGGAACCGGACUUAGUUUAGCAAGGGCUAAGCUGAGAUGAAUGGAUGAUCAGUUCUCUAUUGAUUUCGAGUCAUCGCCUUGGGAAGGUUCUGUCCAACUGAAGGUCAAUCAAGUGAAGAUCAGAUCAGAUGGGAGUCAAGUCAACGUGGCUAUAGAGAGAGAGAGAGAGAGAGAGAGAAAGGAAGUGAUCGAUUCUAGAGUAUGGUCGAUUCUGAAGACCGAUACUCCACCGAGAAGGCCAGUUCCGUCCAAUCGGCGAUUCUCUACGAUUGUGACGCGGAAGCUCUGUCCAAUUCAAUUCGUUCAAGCCAGUCAUAUUCUAUGAUGGUCUAGUGGAGGUGCUGCCCAGAGUUAGUUCAGAACCACGGGUUCAGAUCAGUCGAAGUUCUGCUCGAUACUCCGCGGGAAGUCCGAAGAACUGUCCAGAAGCUAGAGGAGGUUCUGUCCGAGUCCAGAUCAGCCUGUCGAGGCCUGUCAACUUCUUCAUGGUGAAGCCAAGGUUGUGUCCAAGACAAGAUCAGUCCAUUCCAGUCCAGUCAAGGCGUCCAUUGGGUUUUGGCCAAGUUUCUUCAUGGUGAAGCCGAGGUUGUGUCCAAGACAAGAUCAGUCCAGUCCAGUUCAGUCAAGGCGUCCCUUGGGUUUUGGCCAAGUCCUCUCUGAUCAACCAGCUGCUUCUCGCCUAGAACACUGUGAGUUGGUUUGUUUGAAUUCCACUUGGAAUUUAGGGUAGAUCGAGUCGCAUAUAGAGUAGAAUGAUCACGUUAUUGAAUGGUAGAGUCCUUAGGGUUAUUUUAUUUAUGGAACCGGACUCAGUUUAGCAAGGGCUAAGCUGAGAUGAAUGGAAUUAAGACUGAGUUAAUAACCUGACUAAGACUAGGGCUAGGGCUAGGAUGCAAUUAAGACUGAGUUAAUAACCUGACUAGAACUAGGGCUAGGAUGCAUCAUGUUUUCUAUUCUUGCGUGUUGAUAUGGUUGAGUGCAGGUUCCCGUUAUCUUUAAGGAUAGUUUCAUAGCAGGAGGCUGGACUAUCUGGAUAACGGUUUGAUUUAUUUGUUUAGUAUUGAUAUUAUUGUUUAGUUAUUAGUACUAAGGGUCUUAGGCCAUAAAGGCCGGACUACUGGUACUAUGGUUAGUCUUGUGGAGUCGAGUGUCUAGUUAGGAUCUGGAACUUUGGCUUUAGGUUAGGUUCUAGAUUGAGUUUGUUUUGUUGUGAGUGUGCCGACAGUAUGUGCGAAACCCGCCCAUACUAGGCUUGUGUAGGGGUGAUUAGUGUUUCCUCGGCCUCGUACCCAGCGGGUUCAAGGAAACCCCUUAUUCGCUGGAUCGGGAAGACUCAGAGAGACGGGAUCAUGGCCUAGGGCUGAGUUAUUACACGACGGUGUAAUGUGGCAGUGACCCUCAUGUACUAUGGCUGAGUAUUACACGACGGUGUAAUGUGGCAGUGACCCGAAGGACUGUGGGCUGUCGCGCGGUGACCCGAAUGACUGUGGGCCGCGGUCGGUUGAAAGUUCCUUCUUCUGGCCUUUGUGGUAGGGAGAUAGGAUAUUGCCGAUAGAGAGGAGGAACACGAAGUCACCAGGGCCCAGGUUAGAGUGUUGUGUUAGUGUGUCGUAGAGGGUUAUAGAACCCUCGAGUUAGUGUAGCACCGAUAUACGGUGUUACAAGUUAGAUCGAGUCGUAGUUACUCAUAGUCUUAUUAUUGUGAUUGUGUUUGUGGUUGAUUGAUUUGCUUGCAGGUUCUGACCUUAAGUCUAAGUCUGGUUUAGGUACCGGAUUAGGCUUGAUGUGUAUUUUGUUAGUGUAGGCCUGACGUUGGCCUGUAUGUGUUUGAGUGAUUGCUUGUGAAGGGUGGUGGAUAUUAAAGCUAUGCGGUAUCAUUGGUUGGCCGAUCAUGUUCUUGUUUGAUUGUUGGUCGAUCAAUUAAUGAUACUUGUAUAGUCUAAGUGUCUAACACUACAUGAGUAUUGAACUCAGGCGUAUAUAUGGUUAACUAGGAAUUGCUUGUUGACUUGUUUUAAUGCAGGUUCCCGUUACUUGAAGCUAGAUCAUGGCAGGAGGCCAAGUCUAACUUAGUAACGGUUUGCUUAGCCUUAGCUUUUAUUGCAUGCUAGGGCUAGAUUGAUUGUUAUUUUGGGUUGUCUGGGUAGAGUCUAGGUUGCGGGUAGAGGCCGCCAGCUCACUGAGUAACAUUAGGUUACUCAUCCAACUCCGUUGUCCUUUUUGCAGGUUGCUUUAGGUAAGGAUGAUCGGAUAGCUUGGUGCUGGACGUUAGGACCGCCGGUGUAGAUUUUCAUGCCUUUUGUAAACGGUAUUGUGGAUUUGUGUUUAGUUGACUCGAUUUGGCAUUAGGCCGGGACCGGUCUCGAAUUAUAUCAAUGUAUGGAUAUUUCUCGAAUCAAUAAAGUAAUUGUUUUAUAUGCGCUUCAUGAGUACUCUGAUAUUUGACUAGUCCGGUCUAACACAACGUUAGGUCGAGGUACGGGUUGAAAAGCCUUAGGCCUUGAUCUAACGGAAAACGCUAACUCUAGGUACGGGUUGCAAAGCCUUAUGCCUUGACGCAGCGGGACGAGUUAGUGGAUGAACUGGUCUAGGUCGUGGAGUAAAGUUUGUGACUCUGACCGGAUUGUCCCUAGCCCGUCACGUAGCGCUUCCGGACCUUGGUGUUGGGUUGGACGGUCAGUCAUGUUCUUGUUUGAUUGUUGGCUGGCCGGUUGGCCUUUCAUCUCCAACCCUUGGUGUGGGUCGUCCGUCGGUCAUGUUCUUGUUUGAUUGUUGGCCGGUGGGUCGACCUUUGCUUAGGACAGUUCGGGGGUGUUACACACAGGAUGUCCGUGGCUGGCCGUGUGUGUCCGUCAGCACACACAAGACGUCUGUGGCUGUCCAUCAGUACACAUAUCAGCCCACUAGUCCUUGGACUCAGCACGCUGGCCCUUCCCGUGGACUGUUUGGGUGAUUUUAGCCCACGUGGGCUGUCUGUUCAGUACACAUAGGAUGUCUGUGGGUGUCCGUCUGCACACACAGGACGUCUGUGUGUGUCCAUCAGCACACACAGAACGUCCGUGGCUGUCCGUGUGUGUCUGUGUGUGUCCAUAAGCACACACAAGACGUUCAUGGUUGUCCAUCAGUACACAUAUCAGCACGUUGGUCCUUGGACUCAGCACGCUGACCCUUCCCGUGGACUGUUUGGGUGAUUUUGGCCCAAGUGGGCUGUCUGUUCAGUGCAUACAGGACGUCCGUUGGUGUCCGCCAGCACACACAGGACGUCUGUGGCUCUCCGUGGCUGUCCAUCAGCAGACACAGGACGUCUGUGGCUGUCCGUGUGUGUCCGUCAGCACACGCAUGACGUCUGUGGCUGUCCGUGUGUGUCCGUAUGUGUCCGUCAGCACACACAGGACGUCUGUGGCUGUCCAUCAGUACACAUAUCAGCACGUUGGUCCUUGGACUCAGCAUGCUGACCCUUCCCAUGUACUGUUUGGGUGAUUUUGAUCCACGUGGGCUGUCUUUUCAGUACACACAGGACGUCUGUGGGUGUCCACCAGCACACAUAGGACGUCUGUGGCUGUCCGUGUGUGUCCGUCAGCACACACAGGACGUCUGUGGCUGUCCAUCAGUACAUAUAUCAGCACGCUGGUCCUUGGACUCAGCAUGCUGGCCCUUCCCGUGGACUGUUCGGGUGAUUUUAGCCCACGUGGGCUGUCUGUUCAGUACACACACGACGUCUAUGGGUGUCCGUCAGCACACAUAGGACGUGUAACAUCCCGGAUCCUGAAUAGGAUCAUUGGGACGGCCAUGGUUCGAGGAAACAUACUAGCCAGUCUUAAGACAUCAAGGCAAGCGUUCCAUGGCCGGAUAAGAAGGUUAUGGACGUAAGGAAACUUAGACUUAACCUUACACAAGUCGAGAAUCAGCUACAUCGAGCAGGACGGUAGCUGGACGGAUGGAACGGGUAGCUCAACUAGCUCAACGGAGUUAGGAUAAGCUCACUCCAGCUCGGACACUACAAGGUCAGCUCCACUAGCUGGACUACUAGCUCACUCAUCUGAGGCAGCUGGGGGUCAGCUCAUCUCAGCUGGAUGGACUGUUCGGGUUUCGGUCCGAUGGUCUGGGUCCGGGCCGGUGGCAGGCCAUGUGGGGUCCGGCCAUGAGGUCAUGGACCAUUGGGGCUUGGGACAAGGCCAUGGGCUAAGUCUAGAAGAGUUGGGUAAGGCUUUGGUCCACUUCCCGACCCAAACUCAUGCGGUAUUGGCGAAGGGACGCAUGCGGCCGAAAGGGUGUAACCUUGGCCGAUUGUGCCCGUUCGCUGGCCAGUCAUGCAUGUUUGUGGGGCAAGACUUACCCCCUCGUUUUCUGUAAAUAUGGGGCCCUCUCUAUCGAUUUCAAUCAUCCAAUCCAGAGUAAAAAUACUCAGAGAAAUCAUAGAGAGAGAGUUUCCGGCCAAAGCAAGGCCGAUUGUGUGGUGGUUAGGUUUCCGGCGAUCCGAUCGUUUGUGAAGCAACCUCCGAUCAAGUAUGGGAGACCGAGAGCAGGAGAAGAGCAUGGAGAACCCUGACCUGGUUCAGAAGGUACGUGGUGGGCUUUGGCCGCACCAGUCCGAACGGACGGUCCUUGUGAUCGCACCGCGGCUCUGGACGGUUCAUUAGACCUGACCGCUUCUCCUCUUCUUGUUUCAUUCCGGUCCUUUCUCUUCUUUCUGAUUAUGCACAAAGGGUUGUGUUGGUUCAGUCCAAGGGACAUCUUCCUGGACUUGGCUGGACAUAACCAAACCGCUAACCUAGAUGCUGGUCGGUUAGACGGUCGGUUCGAAUCGCACCAUAGACUGGGCGGUUGGGCUAAACGGUUGGGCAUGUCCCAAGAGGCACGAGGUCAAAGGUCACGAGUUACCAACGGUUGUGAGUUGCCAAAGGGUGUGAGUAACCAAGAGUUACGAACGCCAAGUGGUACGAUCACCAAGUAGUACGAGGACCAAGAGGUACCAAAGGCCGAAGGGGGGCGUGUACCAAGCAGUGCCUGUUGAGGCAGGUCGUGUUCGUUCCUUAGGGAUCAGACCAUGUCUUGUCCGUUGAGACAAGUACACGGUCCGUCCAGGCCAGGGUAAGAGUCGCAAGGUCCGACCGGCCAUUGGCCUGACCGGAUUGGGCGUGAGGCUUACUCGGCCGUUGGAUCCUGGCUAAGGCCGGAUCAGGUAAGGAAGCCCGUUGGGCCAUUGAGCCGGACUUCAUCUAGGCCGGUCGCACCUAGAUUCUAUCCGGAUGGAUGGAUUGGUCUUCGUGUGGUCUUUUUAUCUAUUCUGGACUGUCUCUCUGAUUCUAAGUCAAGGGGUGGUUGGUUGAAUGACUUAGGAUUCGGUAGGCAGGUUCAUAUCUUUUCACAAGUAUAUUGUCUGAGGUUUAUCAAUGUUCUAGGAACCAAGCCAAGCAUUGUAGGAUCGACCAGUCCUAUUCUCGGUUAUGAUUGAUGCUUACCUGGUUGUGGUUUCAGGAACUAAGGAUGGUUCUGGUCAAGCCAAGGAGCCGUGAAGGCUCGGUCAGUGAGAGGCUGUGUAACGUGUGGUUAGAUGAUGCUAGGGACGAACUAGUGAUUGUCUAUGAAACUGUUAAGAAGUUGUGUAUUGGAUCUCAUGUUUCUAAGUACUACAAAGUUUACACAUUGUUAUUCCGCUGUGCUAUCUGUUACAUUGUUUUAGAACCUCAGAUUCGAACAUGACUUAGUAAAUGAAAGACUUAAAAUGAAUCAAACAAGCAAAGAAAUUGAUUAAGUAGCAAACGGGUUCAGUCUUGUCGAGAGGCCGGAUUCGGGAGUUACAAGUUGGUAUCAGAGCAUGCUUGAUUCUAGGAUAGUUGGGUUAUGUAGUCCACACACACGCAGCCAGCUGAUUCAGUCUCACGGUGAGGUUUGAUAGUUAGGUCUAGGGAUUAAUUGUCUCGGUUAAGUUAUGUAUAUGUUGUACUAACAAUGUCUGAAUCCUUAGGCUGGGAAAAGCAAAUCGGGAAAGACCCGAAGGAAUAAGAAAACGGCUGGUCCGUCAAGUCAAGUGGCUGCGGACGGACUUAAUCUGUCCGGGUUACCAACCGAGCCGGCUGUGACUAACACCAGUGAUGUCAUGUCCCCGAUCCUGGAUAGGAUCGUCCGGACGGACUGCGGUGCGAGGAAACGCACCAGUCAGGUCAUAUGACCUAAAGACAAGUAUAUCAUGGCCUGAAGGUAAGGUUAAGGGCAUCAGGAAGCUAAGGCAUAGCUAAUCCAAGAAGGAGACAAGCUCAAAGGAGCUGGACAAGCGAGCUGGUAGCUGGACAAUAUCCAGGUGAAGCUCGAUGAAGUGAGUGAUCAGAAUGGAUCAUGGGAAAACUAAGUCUAGGUCUGGAAAUUGACCAAGGGACUUAGAAGGAUUGAAGAAGAUAAAGGAAGCAAGCUGGACACAGUCUAUAACAGCUGGGUGAUGCAGUAAGCAAGCUCGACCAGCUAGGUGAAGUGUAGUGCAGCUCGGUGUAGCUCACUGAAGUAUAGGUCAGCUCCCUGAGCUGGAUGGUCUAGCUCACUCAGCUGGAUCAGCUGGGGAUCAGCUCAACUCAGCUGGACUGAGUGUUCAGGUGUUGGGCAGUGGGCCGGGUCUGGACAGUGGCCGGGCCAUGUGGGUGACCCGUGUGUGCCGAUGGGCUAGUGGGCUCUUGGGAUUGAGCCAUGGGCAUGGGCAGCCCAUGUGGGAUAGUUUUGGACAUGUCCAGGAGUGGUUUGGCAGUUCCAGGGCGUGUGGUAACUGCCAUAGGCGAAAGGGUGCAAUCUGUACCAUUGAUUAAAUCAAUGGCCAGAAAUGAUACCGAAGGGAUGCAAUGGUUAAGAAGUAACCACCCCUUCUCCUAUAUAAGGAGGGCAAGUCCGUGCCUUUUGAUUCCCGCCAGGGCUUCCUACUACACCCUGAAACACAAAGAAUCCAGAGAAAAAUACAGAGAUUUGGUCGGAUUCCCAAUCCAAGACCCAUGGUGGUGUGAAGGCCAUAAAGAGACAGUUUUAGGGCAGAUCAAGGGGGAAGUUGAGAACGACCCUCUGAACGGUUUUGACCAUUGUUGACAACACCUAAAGCCUUAUCUGGAGCCUGUGAACACACGCAAAUGGUGAGGAAAGGAGGGAGUUGGCCGGAAUCCAUUCCCAAGGGCCAAUGCAGCCUUAAAGGGAGAUUGGUGUGGAAAGCAGUUUCAUGGGGAACAAAGAGGGAACUGAUGAACGACCUUUGGAUGGUGAUUGAUCAUGGAUGAUCAUUUCAAAGGCUUCCUCUGUGUCUUGGGAACACACGCAAUUGGUUAGGAGAGAAGGGGGAAGGCUUGACUCCACUCUCAAAGGCAUGAACAGCCUUGAAGAUGGAUGCAGUAUAGAAACUGGUUUCAUGGAAGUUCCAUGGAAGGAGUGAUGGGCACGAACCAUGGUUAGAUCUUAUCAAUACUGGAAGUAUGUGAUAAGGGUUUGAUGAAGGCGUGCUAGGAGGAGCAUGGACGCCCCUGAUGAGGUAACAGGUGGGGACUGCGGACCAUUGGACAUAGUCUGGUACACUAUGGGCUGAUCUGGUUCUGCAGUUACACCUUACUCUGUUUUAUGAUUAUUAAUCAUAUUAUUUCUUUUUCUUAUGAUUGAGAUUGAUGAUUAGACAUAGUAGCACUGAACCAUGGCUUGGCCGGUUCAGAAGAACCCUCCAUGGACUUGGUUUGGCAGCUACGAGAACCCUCCAUGGAGCACUGAACCAUGGCUUGGCCGGUUCAGAAGAACCCUCCAUGGACUUGGUUUGGCAGCUACGUCCGGAUCUCCUACUUCCUGAUGGAUUUAUGGCGAUCUGACUUUGGAAUCUUCUUAGUGGUGAAUUAUCAUGAAUUAUCAUGGUAUUUGGGGGUUUUUAUCUGAUUGAUUUCGAGAUGGUCAAGGUGGUCGGUGGGGCUGUUUUAGGUCGAGAUCCAUAGGAUCGAGAUCGGUUCUUGGAAUUCUGACUUGACCAUUCUCUUAGUUAAGAUUUAUCAUGAAUUAUCAUGAAUCCUAAUGAGUUUUUAGGGAUUGAUUUAGAGAUGGUCCCUUGGGCCGGUUUGGCUGAUCUUGGCCGAGAUCUAUUGGAUGGAGGCCGGUUCUGGGAAAUCUGAUUGGACCAUUCUAUUAGUUAUGAUUUAUCAUGAAUUUUCAUGAAUUUUAAUUGAUUUUUGGAGCAGGUUUGCUUGGGGUCGAAAUUGCACCUGAGGGCAUAUUGGGGUCAGAUCCUUGUGUUAGGAUAUCUGAUCAUAUGUUUGUGUGCUGGAACAUAUUGUCACUUAUGAUAUUGAUCAUAAGGAAUUGCUGGUUAUCAACCUUGGUUUUGGUAAGGUAUGGGCAAUGCAUUGGCUGAGAGCCAGGAAGAAGAGUACAGCUAAGUACUUGGUGGCGUGGACCAAUGUACUAAGCUUGGGUGUUAUUAUUCAAGGCAGGCCGUGUGUGAUCUGAUCAUGGGCAAGGAUGGACGACCUGAUCCUUGGAUGUUGGAACAAGGUGUCUGAUCAAAUUGAUCAAAGGAUGCACCGGUGGUAAGAGCAGAGCAACACUAAUCAGGUUCAGUGGGACAUGGUUCCAUGACUGAUUAGGAAGUAUGAAGACUCAUCAGUUCUGAGUCAUGUGGGGUGGUUGGUUGAUUGACUCAGGAUCUGAUGGGCAUUGUUAGUCUUUGUGAGGAAUUGAUCUGGUUAGACCAUGAGAGGACUUGGUAUUAUAUUCUACAAAGCGUACGGGUAUUGGAUGAUGCAUGGGCUAAGAAGGGCCAGAUGCAUAUCAGUUACUAUUGAAGACUUCCCAAAGGUUACUUAGUCUGUGGGGAGGGUUGGCUGAAUGACUAAGUACCCAAGGGAAGAGUUUAUGCAGGUAUAAGGGAGUUGGAGGAGUGGACGGGGAGCUGGGCAAAGCUACCUCGCACCUCGAUCAGCUGGAACGGAGCAGCAAACCUCAAGUGAAGUGGUUCAGCUCAACUAGUUGGGUGAGCUAGCUAAGACAGCUAAGUCAGCUGGGACAAUGAGCUAACAAGCUCCGAGAAUGUGGCAAAGGUAUGAUAUGUCAAUGUUGCAUAGAUCUAGAUAGAAUGGCUUAGGGGAACGGAACCUCUGAUAGUAUGACUUGGUCUAGGUUCAGGAUCGACCUUGGAGCUAGCUGGCAGUUGUGUUACUGACCUGUAGCUGAGGUGAUCUGACCAGAUAAGUGUUAGAUUGGAUUUAGUCCAAUGCAUGAUAGAUGUUAUUCCGCUGUGCAUAAGUUGAAAUGAGCUAAGCUAGGGAAUGACUAAGGUAGUCUUGAGCUAAGAUCUGAGUUAGCCCUCGCCUAUGGGCGAUGUUUUUAAAUAAAGGGCAAAAUUUUUAGAGGUUCGGUCAGUGUAUAGACCGAGCGACGUGAGGCAUCGACCGCGGCCUAGUCGGCCGAGAUCGGGUCUUACAGGUGAUGUGUUACCGACUGACCAUGCCAAUCUUACGAGAACUCAACAGGAAGGUCAGCAACACCGGGAGAGUGACGAGGAAGUGGAAUCCUCGAACGCUAACCGUGAUGGUGACCAGCGUGAGGAAAGGGCCGAGGGAGCAGCCAACGUGUUCGCAGCACUGUCCCGUGAGGACUUGUUAGAGGCCAUGAAAGUAAUGGGUAACCAGGUGGCGGCUAUGACUCAGCUGUUCACUCCACUAGGGAAUUCAUCAGUUGGUCAAGCUACGCCUGUAGCUACGGCUACACCUAUUGUUACGGGUCCAGCUGUGGACGCGGUCGAGGUGAUCGAGAUCGAUCCACCGGAAGGGUCUGUAAAGAAGGUUGACUAUCUGAGCUUGCUUCAACAUCUAUCCAGAUUGGGUACGAAGCAAUUCUCAGGUAGCACCGACCCUGUUGUGGCAGAUGAGUGGACGAGUAGGUUGGUCCGAAACUUCCAAUCAACUCGCUGUCCAGAGGAUUACAGACGAGAUAUUGCGGUUCACUCCCUGGAAGGGGACGCGCAUAAUUGGUGGCUUGCAGUGGACAAGCGCACCAAUGGAGGUCUCACAAGUUUUGCGGAUUUUGAAAUUGAAUUCAACCGCAAAUACUUUCCUGCCGAGGCUUUGGAUCGUCUGGAAGCUAUGUUUCUAGAUUUGGUCCAAGGCCGCAGGACCGUACGGGAGUACAAAGAAGAGUUCAACCGACUCAGGCGGUUUGUUGGAAGAGAGCUGGAGGACGAAGCAGUCCAGGUUCGUAGGUUCAUCUGACGCCUAAGGCCGGAACUGAAGACCCACUGCUCGAUCCGCACUUUCAACACCGUCGGAGAACUGGUGGAACGGGUGGCUUUGUUGGAGUCUAACUUGGCUAAGGAAGCUAAGCUUAAGGCUAAGCCACAGUCUGGCCCAUUGGGCAAGACUAAUGAUAAAAAGAGAAAAUGGGACCAGGUGGACGGAGGUAAGACCUCUGGUGGCCGACCUGCGUGUUCCAAAUGUGGACGGAACCAUCCCAGUGAGUGCUGGAAGGCCAAGGGGGCUUGUGUUCGUUGUGGCAGCAUGGACCAUGGGGUUCAGAACUGUCCUCGACUGAACCAGUCUGGGAGAAGCGGUCAGAUGACCUGUUUUCAUUGUGGCCAGCCAGGACAUUUCCAAUCGGAGUGUCCCAAGCUGCAAGGAAGUCAGGGGAAGGGCCGUGGAGAUUCAGGAAAGGCGUCCCACGGCAAACCAACCACCACACCGAGGGUGUAUGAACUGUCACGAGAAGACGGAGCUUCCGGAUCCUUUGAUUCGAUCUUUGGUAAUUUAUAAAUUUAUCUUUUUACAUUCAAGUAGUAAUGCUUGGUCUGGAACCUAGAAUGUGGUCUAGGGGAUUCUGAUGAGGGGUCUCUGAUAGGAACCCUCAUGGUCGGUCGGGUAAAAACACACGUGCUUUUCGACACAGGGGCUACACAUAGUUUUGUGAGUCCGGGACUGGUUGGAAAAGGUCUGUUCUGUCUGGAUGCUGGUGAUAAUUUUGGGAUAGUGAGGGCGGCCGGUGGGCAAGCCAUGAACUCACUAGGUCUCAUGUCGAAUAUCCCAGUACAGAUCCAAGGAAAGGUCUUCCCCGUUAAUCUGGUCUGUGUCCACCUAAAGAAUCAAGAAGUGAUCUUAGGUAUGGAUCGGUUGGGAAAGUACCGAGCCACUCUCGAUUGCCAUAAGGGUCAUGUGCAAUUGGAGAAUGGACUUCACCCGGUAGAGUACCAAGGUCUGUGUCAGGCUCAAGAGAAAGCAGUGGUUUCAGCAGUUCGAGAGAUACGGAUGCUGGAACAGGGUUGUCAUUCAUUCUUGGCUACAAUUACAACUACAGACCCUGAACGUUCUGGUUUUCUGUUAGACCCACGCGAGGAUUCGUUGGUGUCCGAGUUCCAGGAUGUGUUUCAGUCGCUACAGGGUGUCCCCCCUGAUAGGUCUGAUCCCUUCCUGAUUGAACUGGAAACAGGGACAGCUCCGCUGUCCAAGAGUCUGUAUCGAAUGGCUCCGGCCGAGAUGGCCGAGCUAAUGUAGCUCCCCUUGGGGUGCACCAGUCCUCUUUGUGAAAAAGAAGGAUGGUAGCAUGUGUCUGUGCAUCGACUAUCGAGGGUUGAACAUGGUAACUGUGAAGAACAAUUACCCGUUGUCCAGGAUAGACGAGCUGUUGGAUCAGCUGAAAGGAGCUAAGUGGUUUUCUUAAAUCGAUUUGGCCUCGGGAUAUCAUCAGAUUCCUAUAGAGCCAAACGACAUUAGGAAAACAGCAUUUAGGACCACGUACGGCCAUUACGAAUUCGUAGUGAUGCCGUUCGGUCUGACCAAUGCACCUGCUGCAUUCAUGAAAAUGAUGAACAGCGUGUUCCGGGACUUCUUGGAUGAAUCAGUGAUAAUCUUCAUUGAUGAUAUCCUCAUUUAAUCUAAGGACGAGGAAUCUCAUCGGAAACAUUUGAGAGCCGUGCUGGAACGAUUACGAGAGCACAAACUCUUUGCUAAACUCAGCAAGUGCAGUUUUUGGCAAAAGAGUAUUGGGUUCCUCGGUCAUAUUGUCUCUGACCAGGGCGUCUCAGUGGUCCAGAGAAGAUCCGGGCAAUCAAGGAUUGGUCCCGACCACGCAGUGACACGGAAGUUAGAAGCUUCCUAGGGCUGGCAGGUUACUAUAGAAAGUUUGUGAAGGGAUUCGCAAACCUGGCUCAGCCGAUGACACGGUUGACUGGGAAGGACGUUAAGUUAACAUGGUCUGACGAGUGUACGAGAUGUUUCUCCGCACUUAAGGAUAUGUUAACUAGCGCACCCGUCCUGGUUCUCCCGAAGGCAGACCAACCUUAUGUUGUCUACACGGAUGCAUCCAUCACUGGACUCUGUUGCGUGUUGACCCAACAUGGGAAGGUCAUUGCUUACGCGUCAAGGCAGCUGAAGAAACAUGAGGGAAACUACCCAACCCAUGACCUUGAAAUGGCUGCGGUAGUGUUCGCCUUAAAGAUUUGGCGAUCAUAUUUAUAUGGGGCCAAAGUCCAGAUACUUACGGAUCAUAAAAGUCUGAAGUAUAUAUUCACCCAGCCUGAGUUGAACUUAAGGCAGAGGAGGUGGAUGGAGUUCGUGGCCGACUACGACCUAGACAUCACCUACUAUCCGGGCAAGGCCAACCUUAUGGCUGACGCUUUGAGCCGGAAACGAGAAUAUGUUACGGCCGGUAGCAGAAUGGACGAGCCGGAUGAGGUGGGACGUUUCAUCCGUUUAAAUGUUUUGAAUGGGACGGACGGACCACGGGGUUUAGAGGUGGUGAAUAGAGCCGACCUGCUUUCCCGGAUCCGAGCGGCCCAAGAUCAGGACGAGAACCUGAAGACGGUUGCUCGGAACGACCUGACUGAGUAUCAAAUCGUUAAGGACGGUACGAUCUUAGUUCAUGGUCGGAUCAGCGUACCCAAUGAUAGGAGUUUGAAGGACGAGAUCCUUAGAGAAGCUCACAAGUCUAGAUUCUCGAUCCAUCCUGGAGUGACCAAGAUGUAACACAAUCUCAGACAGUACUAUCAUUGGAUACGGAUGAAGGUCGAUGUGGCCGAAUGGGUGGCCAACUGUCCUACUUGUCAACUCGUCAAGGCCGAACAACAAGUUCAGAGUGGACUGCUUCAGAGCCUACCUAUUCCGGAAUGGAAGUGGGAUCACAUCACGAUGGACUUCGUGAUAGGAUUUCCCAUGACCAGGAAUAGGAAUGAUGCUGUCUGGGUAAUAGUUGAUCGACUGACCAAGUCUGCCCACUUCCUGACCAUCAAAAAGACUGAUGGAGUCGACCGGAUUAUGAGUAAGUACAUUGACGAGAUUGUGAGGCUACACGGAGUACCCUCAAGUAUAGUUUCGGAUAGAGAUUCGAGGUUCACAUCUCACUUCUGGCAAGCUUUUCAAAAAGCUUUAGGAACAAGAGCGAACAUGAGUACAGCUUAUCAUCCCCAAAUGGAUGGGCAGUCAGAAGGAACUAUACGGACGCUGGAGGACAUGCUUCGAGCAUGUGUUCUCGAUUGGGGUGAUUCCUAGGAACGGCAUUUGCCGUUAGUGGAGUUCGCCUACAAUAACAGCUUCCACUCAAGUAUAGGCAUGUCACCAUACGAAGCUUUGUAUGGACGACCAUGCAGGACACCGUUAUGCUGGACCUAAGUGGGGGCACGCAGCAUGAUAGGCCCCGAGAUCGUGGAAGAAACCACGGAGAAGAUCAUGUCCGUGCGGGACAAGAUGAGGGCUGCACAGGACAGACAAAAACACUACGCUGACAAACGAAGGAAAGAACUGGAGUUUACAGUGGGUGAUAUGAUCUAUCUCAAAAUGAUUACCUUUAAAGGUAGAGUACGAAUUUCUGGUAGAAGGAAAUUGGACCCAAUAUACCUAGGGCCGUUCAGAGUCAUAGAACGAGUGGGUAGUGUGGCAUACAAGUUGGACUUACCAUCUGAGAUGGAAGCCUUUCAUAAUGUAUUCCAUAUCUCCCAACUCCGGAAGUGCUUGACGGAUCAGGACAUCUUAAUACCUGAAAUACCAUCCGAUCUAGGUACGAACCUAACUUUGGAAACAAAGCCGGUUUGGAUCAUAGAUAGGAUGGAAAAAGCAAUGAGAAAGAAAACAAUCCAGAUGGUCAAGGUCAUUUGGGAUUGUAAUGCUCGAGAAGAGACCACUUGGGAGACGGAGGCCAGGAUGAAGGCCGAGUUUCCAAAUUGGUUCGACCAGUUUGUGUUGGAUGAAACACAUGAGUCGGAUUCGAGGACGAAUCCAUUGCUAGUGGGGGAGACUUAUAACAUCCCGGAUCGUGAAUAGGAUCAUUGGGACGGCCACGGUUCAAGGAAAUGUACUAGCCAGUCUUAAGACAUCAAGGCAAGCGUUCCAUGGCCGGAUAAGAAGGUUAAGGACGUAAGGAAACUUAGACGUAACCUUACACAAGUCAAGAAUCAGCUAGACCGAGCAGGACGGUUGCUGGACGGAUAGAACGGGUAGCUAAACUAGCUCAACGGAGUUAGGAUAAGCUCACUCAAGCUCGGACACUACAAGGUCAGCUUCACUAGCUGGACUACUAGCUCACUCAGCUGAGGCAGCUGGGGGUCAGCUCAUCUCAGCUGGACGGACUGUUCGGGUUUCGGUCCGAUGGUCCGGGUCCGAGCCGGUGACAGGCCAUGGGGGGUCUGGCCAUGAGGUCAUGGACCGUUGGGGCUUGGGACAAGGCUGUGGGCUAAGUCUAGAAGAAUUGGGUAAGGCUUUCGGCCUCUGCCCGACCCAAACCCAUGCGGUAUUGGCGAAGGGACGCAUGCGGCCGAAAGGGUGUAACCCUUGGCCGAUUGUGCCCGUUCGCUGGCCAGUCAUGCCUGUUCAUGGGGAAAGACUUACCCCCUCGUUUUCUAUAAAUAUGGGGCCCUCUCUGUCGAUUUCAAUCAUCCAAUCCAGAGUAAAAAUACUCAGAGAAAUCGUAGAGAGAGAGAAAGAAAGAGAGAGAGUUUUCGGCCAAAGCAAGGCCGAUUGUGUGGUAGUUAGGUUUCCGGCGAUCCGAUCGUUUGUGAAGCAACCUCCGAUCAAGUAUGGGAGACCGAGAGCAGGAGAAGAGCGUGGAGAACCCUGACCUGGUUCAGAAGGUACGUGGUUGGUUUUGGCCGCACCAGUCCGAACGAACGGUCCUUGUGACCGCACCGCGGCUCUGGACGGUUCAUUAGACCUGACCGCUUCGCCUCUUCUUGUUUCUAUCCGGUCCUUUCUCUUCUUUCUGAUUAUGCAUGAAGGGUUGUGUUGGUUCAGUCCAAGGGACACGUUCCUGGACUUGGCUGGACAUAACCAAACCGCUAACCUAGACGCUGGUCGGUUAGACGGUCGGUUCGAAUCGCACCAUAGACUGGGCGGUUGGGCUAAACGGUUGGGCAUGUCCCAAGAGGCACGAGUGGCCAAAGGUCACGAGUUACCAACGGUUGUGAGUUGCCAAAGUGUGUGAGUAACCAAGAGUUACGAACGCCAAGUGGUACGAUCACCAAGUAGUACGAGGACCAAGAGGUACCAAAGGCCGAAGGGGGCGUGCACCAAGCGGUGCCUGUUGAGGCAGGUCAUGUCCGUUCCUUAGGGAUCAGACCAUGUCUUGUCCGUUGAGACAAGUACACGGUCCGUCCAGGCCAGGGUAAGAGUCGCAAGGUCCGAGCGGCCAUUGGCCUGACCGGAUUGGGCGUGAGGCUUACUCGACCGUUGGAUCCAGGCCUAAGGCCGGAUCAGGUAAGGAAGUCCGUUGGGCCAUUAAGCCAGACUUCAUCUAGGCCGGUCACACCUAAAUUCUAUCCGGAUGGACGGAUUGGUCUUCGGGACGAUCCGGACUGUUCGUGUGUUCUGUUUAUCUAUUCUGGACUGUCUAUCUGAUUCUAAGUCAAGGGGUGGUUGGUUGAAUGACUUAGGAUUUGGUAGGCAGGUUCAUAUCUUUUCAUAAGUAUAUUGUCUGAGGUUUAUCAAUGUUCUAGGAACCAAGCCAAGCAUUGUAGGAUCGACCAGUCCUAUUCUCGGUUAUGAUUGAUGCUUACCUGGUUGUGGUUUCAGGAACUAAGGAUGGUUCUGGUCAAGCCAAGGAGCCGUGAAGGCUCGGUCAGUGAGAGGCUGUGUAACGUGUGGUUAGAUGAUGCUAGGGACGAACUAGUGAUUGUCUAUGAAACUGUUAAGAAGUUGUGUAUUGGAUCUCUUGUUUCUACGUAAUACAAAGUUUACACAUUGUUAUUCCGCUGUGCUAUCUGUUACAUUGUUUUAGAACCUCAGAUUCGAACAUGACUUAGUAAAUGAAAGACUUAAAAUGAAUCAAACAAGCAAAGAAAUUGAUUAAGUAGCAAACGGGUUCAGUCUUGUCGAGAGGCCGGAUUCGGGAGUUACAAGUUGGUAUCAGAGCAUGCUUGAUCGUUACAGGAAGUCCGUGUGUGUCCGUCAGCACACACAGGACGUCCGUGGCUGUCCGUGUGUGCCUGUUUGUGUCCAUCAGCACACACAGGACGUCUGUGGCUGUCCAUCAGUACACAUAUCAGCACGUUGGUCCUUGGACUCAGCACGCUAACCCUUCCCGUGGACUGUUUGGGUAAUUUUGGCCCAAGUGUCCGCCAGCACACACAGGACGUCUUUGGCUGUCCGUGGCUGUCCAUCAUCAGACACAGGACGUCUGCGGCUGUCAGUGUUUGUCUGUCAGCACACACAGGACGUCUGUGGCUGUCCGUGUGUGUCCGUGUGUUUCGUCAGCACACACAGGACAUCCGUGGCUGUCCAUCAGUACACAUAUCAGCACGUUGGUCCUUGGACUCAGCACGCUGAUAUGUGUCCAUCAGUACACAUAUCAGCACGUUGGUCCUUGGACUCAGCACGCUGACCCUUCCCGUGGACUGUUUGAGUGAUUUUGGCCCACGGGGGCUGUCUGUUCAGUACACACAGGACGUUCGUGAGUGUCCGCCAGCACACACAUGACAUCCGUGGCUGUCCAUGUGUGUCCGUGUGUGUACGUCUGUGUCCGUCAGCACACACAGGUCGUAUGUGGCUGUUCAUCAGUACACAUAUCAGCACGUUGGUCCUUGGACUCAGGACGCUGGCCCUUCUCGUGGACUGUUUGGGUGAUUUUGGCUCACGUGGGCUGUCUGUUCAGUACACACUGUGGCUGUCCGUCAGCACACACAUGACGUCUGUGGGUGUCCGUCAGUACACACAGGACGUACGUGUAUGUCUGUCAGCACACACAGGACGUCCGUGGCUGUCCGUGUGUGUCCGUCAGCACACACAGGACGUCAGUGGCUGUUCAUCAGUACACAUAUCAGCACGUUGGUCCUUGGACUCAGCACGCUGGCCCUUCCCGUGGACUGUUCGGGUGAUUUUGGCCCACGUGGGCUGUCUGUUCAAUACACACAGGACGUCUGUGGGUGUCCGUCAGCACACCCAGGAUGUCCGUGGCUGUCCGUGUGUGUAUGUGUUUGUCCAUCAGCACACACAGGACGUCCGUGGCUGUCCAUCAGUACACAUAUCAGCACGUUGGUCCUUAUACUCAGCACGCUGGUCCUUAUACUCAGCACGCUGACCCUUCCCGUGGACUGUUAGGGUGAUUUUGGCCAGAGUGGGCUGUCUGUUCAGUACACACAGGACGUCCGUGGGUGUCCGCCAGCACACGUAGGACGUCUGUGGCUGUCUGUGGCUGUCCAUCAGCAGACACAGGACGUCCGUGGCUGUCUGUGUGUGUCCGUGUGUGUCCGUCAGCACACACAAAACGUCUGUGGCUGUCUAUGUGUGUCCGUAUGUGUCCGUCAGCACACACAGGACGUCCGUAGCUGUCCAUCAGUACACAUAUCAGCACGUUGGUCCUUGGACUCAGCACGCUGACCCUUCCCGUGGACUGUUUGGGUGAUUUUGGUCCACGUGGGCUGUCUGUUCAGUACACACAGGACGUCCGUGGGUGUCCGCCAGCACACACAGGACAUCCGUGGCUGUCCGUGUGUGUCCGUGUGUGUCCGUCUGUGUCCGUCAGCACACACAGGUCGUCUGUGGCUGUUCAUCAGUACACAUAUCAGCACGUUGGUCCUUGGACUCAGGACGCUGGCCCUUCCCGUGGAUUGUUUGGGUGAUUUUGGCCCACGUGGGCUGUCUCUUCAGUACACACAGGACGUCCGUGGGUGUCCGCCAGCACACACAGGACGUCUGUGGCUGUCUGUGGCUGUCCGACAGCACACACAUGACGUCUUUGGCUGUCUGUGUGUGUCCGUGUGUGUCUGUGUGUGUCCGUCAGCACACACAGGACGUAUGUGGGUGUCCGUCAGCACACACAGGACGUUCGUGUGUGUCCGUCAGCAUACACAGGACGUCUGUGGCUGUCCAUUAGUACAUAUAUCAGUACGCUGGUCCUUGGACUCAGCACGCUGGCCCUUCCCGUGGGCUGUUUGUUCAGUACACACAAGACGUCUGUUGGUGUCCGUCAGCACACACAGCACAUCCGGGUGUGUCCAUCAGCACACACAGGACGUCCGUGGCUGUACGUGUGUGUCCAUCAGCACGUGCUUCCGCAGUAAAUGACGAGGUCAAAAAAUUGCUCAAAGUCGAGUCGAUAACAGAAGUAAGAUACCCAGACUGGCUCGCGAACCCUGUAGUAGUCAAAAAGAAAAACAGGAAAUGGCGAGUUUGCGUGGAUUUUACCGACCUAAACAAGGCCUGUCCGAAGGAUAGUUUCCCUCUACCACAUAUCGAUCAAUUGGUAGAAGCAACAGCGGGCAACGAGCUCUUAUCCUUCAUGGACGCCUUCUCAGGUUAUAAUCAAAUUAUGAUGAACCCCGACUGUAACACCCCCGAACCGUCCUAAGCAUAGGUCGACCCACCGGCCAACAAUCAAACAAGAACAUGACCGACGGACGACCCACACCAAGGGUUGGAGAUGAAAGGCCAACCGGCCAGCCAACAAUCCAAAAAGAACAUGACUGACCGUCCAACCCAACACCAUGGUUCGGAAGCGUUACAUGACGGGCUACGGACAAUCCGGUCAGAGUCUCAAACUUUACUUCACGACCUCGACCAGUUCAUCCACUAAGUCGUCCCGCUGCGUCAAGGCACAAGGCUUUGAAACCCGGCCAAGAGUUAGCGUUUUCCGUUAGAUCGAGGCCUAAGGCUUUUCAACCCAUACUACGACCUAACAUUGUGUUAGACCGAACUAGUCAAAUAUCAGAGUACUCAUGAAGCGCAUAUAAAACAUUUACUUUAUUGAUUCGAGAAAUAUCCAUACAUUGAAUAAUUCGAGACUGAGCCCGGCCUAAUGCCAAAUCGAGCCAACAAAACACAUAACUCAAUACCGUUUACAAAAGGCAUGAAAAUCUACACCGGCGGUCCUAAUGUCCAGCACCAACCUAUCCGAUCAUCCUUACCUAAAGCGACCUGAAAAAAAAGGAAAACGGAGUUGGAUGAGUAACCUAAUGUUACUCAGUGAGCUGGUGGCCUCUACCCGCAACCUAGACUCUAACCCAGACAACCCAAAAUAACAAUCAAUCUAGCCCUAGCAUGCAAUAAAAGCUAAGGCUAAGCAAACCGUUACUGAGUUAGAUUUGGCCUCCUGCCAUGAUCUAACUUCAAGUAACAGGAACCUGCAAGAAAACAAGUCAACAACCAAUCCUUAGUUAACCAUAUAUACGCCUGAGUUCAGUACUCAUGUAGUGUUAGACACUUAGACUAUACAAGUAUCAUUAGUCGAUCCAACAAUCAAACAAGAACAUGAUCGGCCAACCAAUGAUACCUCAUAGCUUUAAUAUCCACCACCCUUCACAAGCAGUCAGACUUAGGUCUUAAUGCCAGAACCUGCAAGUAAAUCAAACAAGAACAUGAUCGAACAACGUCAGGCCUACAAUAACCAAAUACACACCAAGCCUAAUACGGUACCUAAACCAGACUUAGGUCUUAAUGCCAGAACCUGCAAGUAAAUCAAUCAACCACAAUCACAAUAAUAACUAUGAGUAUCUACGACUCGAUCUAACUCGUAACACCGUAUAUCGAUGCUACAUUACUCAAGGGUUCCAUAACCCUCUACGACACACUAACACAACACUCUAACCUGGCCCCUGGUGACUUCGUGUUCCUCCUCUCUAUCAGCAAUAUCCUAUCUUCCUACCACAAAGGCCAGAAGAAGGAACUUUCAACCGACCGCGGCCCACCGUCAUUCGGGUCACCGCGCGACAGCCCACAGUCCUUCGGGUUACUGCCACAUUACACCGUCGUGUAAUACUCAGCCAUAGUACAUGACACCGUUCGUCUGAGUCUUCCCGAUUCAGCGAAUAAGGGGUUUCCUUGAACCCGCUGGGUACGAGGCCGAGGAGCACUAAUCACCCCUACACAAGCCUAGUAUGGGCGGGUUUCGCACAUACUGUUGGCACACUCACAACAAAACAAACUCAAUCUAGAACCUAACCUAAAGCCAAAGUUCCAGAUCCUAACUAGACACUCGACUCCACAAGACUAACCAUAGUACCAGUAGUCCGGCCUAUAUGACCUAAGACCCUUAGUACUAACUACUAAACAACUAAGCAAUAAUAAUCAAUACUAAUCAAUUAAAUCAAACCGUUAUCCAGAUAGUCCAGCCUCCUGCUAUGAAAUUAUCCGUAAAGAUAACGGGAACCUGCACUCCACCAAAUAAACACACAAGAAUAGAAAACAUGAUGCAUCCUAGCCUUAGUCCUAAUCAGGUUAUUAAUUCAGUCUUAAUUCCUUUCAUCUCAGCUUAUGCCUUUCUAAACUGAGUCCGGUUCCAUAAAUAAAAUAACCCUAAGGACUCUACCAUUCAAUAACUUGAUCAUUAUAAUCUAUAUGCGACUCGAUCUAUCCUAAAUUCCAAGUGGAAUUCAAACAAACCAACUCACAAAACUAUCCUAAAUUCCAAGUGGAAUUCACACAAGCCAACUCACAGUGUUCUAGGCGAGAAGCAGCUGGUUGAUCGGAGAGGACUUCGCCAAAACCCCAUGGACGACUUGACUGCACUGGACUUGAGUGAUCUUGAUUUGGACAGAACCUUGGCUUCACCAUGAAGAAGCUGACAGGCCUCGAAAGACUGAUCUGGACUCGGACAGAACCUCCUCUAGCUUCUGGACAGUUCUUCGACUUCCCGGUGCAGUAUUGAGCAUAACUUCGACUGAUCUGAACCCAUGGAACUGAACUAAUCUUGGACAGUACCUCACUUGAUUGUAGGAGAAUAUGACUGGCUUGGACGAAUUAAAUUCGACAGAGCUUCCACCUCACAAUCGUAGAGAAUUAUCGAUUGGACGGAACUGGCCUUCUCGAUGGAGUAUCGGUCUUAAGAAUCGACCAUACUCUUAAAUUGAUCACUUUCUUUUUCUCUCUCUCUCUAGCCACAUUUUGAACUUGCUUUGGUGUGUUCUGGAUGUCUGAAACUGAAGGGGGUGGCUGGGUAUUUAUAGAAAACACCAGCUAAUCAGAUUCAGGUUGGUGGCCGCCCGUGUGUCGCUCCGCAUGGCUCCGGACGCAUGCACGGCGACACCUCGUGCUCCACAUGUCCUUCAGCAUGGCCAGGACUCAUGCAGGGCGCCACCACUCCUCCCAGAUGUCAGGCUGCAUGACUGGAACUCAUGCAAGGCGCCACAGCAUCACACACAUGGCUGGCCGCAUGCUUCGGUUGCAUUCGUCGCGACAUCUCGUGCUUGGCCGCUCCACCUCCUGCUUCUAUGUGUCGGGCUGCAUGGACUGCUUCCAUGCACGUCUACACCUCCUCCUUGUGUUGAUACUGAGCUUGUUAGAUGGUUGACACCACGUUCUGAACCCAUGCAACAAGCCACCUCGAGCUUCUCGGUCCAUUCGCCUGAUUUCGAUCACUCCGAUGAAUUUUCGUCCCGCGAUUAAUCCCAAAUAUUUUUCUACAGCCUCUCUUAUGCUCAGAACAAUUUUAAUAAACUCCAAGUGAUCUCUGAAGUUGAGGGAAAAUAUGUCCUGAGCCUCCGGCUUCCUCAAAAAAUUUCAUAAUACCGAAAUUAGGGUUUUCGUCCAAUUUCGGGUUUUCCCGUCGUGCUUUAAUCCCGUCGUGCUUGCUUCCCGUCGUGCUUAAUUCCCAUCAUGUUUCCAAUGUCUUCGAAAUAAUAUUCUGCUGAUACGAAGUUUUGCGGAAAACUUCGUGCUGAAGAAACGUCAUUCUUCCAAAACGUCGAGCUUCUAAACCGUCGUGCUUCUAAAAAUGUUAUGCUUCGAAAACGUCCGUCUCAUCAAUCUAAGACAUCUUCUAACUAUGGUCGAGCAACUUAUUUGACUCAUAGUUAACUCACGAUCACUUCUUCGCCCACUUCCUACUUUAAAACUUCUCGAUCGCCCGCGACUCGACCACCACAAAGAUACUCGACCAUUCUCUCUCCUUUUUUUUUGUUUUUUUUAACGGGUUUCUUCAUUCUCCCCCCCCCCUUAAUAGAAUUCGUCAUCGAAUUGCGAUGUUGCUCGUCUUCACAACAUUCUCCACUUGUCUCCAUAACCUCUUUACUCUGUCCACCACGGUUCCUUGAGUGUCCUCUUCAAGCCCUCCACAAUCGUCUUCAUAUCUCUUGACUUGAAUGAUCACUGAGUCAUCCUCUUUCUUUUACUCUGACAUAACACACUCAUUGCCCUGAUACGAUCUUGUCCAUGCUCGUUCUUGAUUACUCCAACCAUUUUCUCGAUCUUUGUUUUCCCAACUAAUGAUGAAGUCCUUUCCCAACAAAGUUUUGUUUCCUCCCAUCUGUCCAGUCCAUACCACUGUCCAGUUCUCUGAAUCUCUCUCUCCUCUUUCGCUUCGGGUUUGGGUUUGGCCUUGAACUCCCUCCACUUUAAGGGUUUCAUCCCUUAAAGUUCCGAUCAACAAACACACUUACUCGCUGCAACUCAUAAGAACACCUCACAUGCAAGUUAGUAGACAAUUAAUCAAAUAAUCUACUAACCCAGCAAAUACUAACAAUUCAACCUAACCGCAAUUCUAACCAGCAACCUAACAGUUCUAGAUUCCACUAUCUCAAAUUCUAAUUCCUAAAACCAAAAAUCCUAUCGCUGGACGUGACCGGUUUCCCUAAUGCCUUUUUGACUCUUUUUGACUCGAUAAAUAUUUAAAACCGAUUAAAUCAUGAGUUCUGGAAGCAUGGACGAAACCAUGCUCUGAUACCACCUCUGUAACACCCCC